ACGCUAGCUACAGGCUUAACACAUGCAAGUCGAUGGGCAGCAUCAUCAAAGCUUGCUUUGAUGGAUGGCGACCGGCGCACGGGUGAGUAACACGUAUCCAACCUGCCGACAACACUGGGAUAGCCUUUCGAAAGAAAGAUUAAUACCGGAUGGUAUAGUUUUCCCGCAUGGGAUAAUUAUUAAAGAAUUUCGGUUGUCGAUGGGGAUGCGUUCCAUUAGGCAGUUGGCGGGGUAACGGCCCACCAAACCUACGAUGGAUAGGGGUUCUGAGAGGAAGGUCCCCCACAUUGGAACUGAGACACGGUCCAAACUCCUACGGGAGGCAGCAGUGAGGAAUAUUGGUCAAUGGACGAGAGUCUGAACCAGCCAAGUAGCGUGAAGGAUGACUGCCCUAUGGGUUGUAAACUUCUUUUAUACGGGAAUAAAGUUAGCCACGUGUGGUUUUUUUGUAUGUACCGUAUGAAUAAGGAUCGGCUAACUCCGUGCCAGCAGCCGCGGUAAUACGGAGGAUCCGAGCGUUAUCCGGAUUUAUUGGGUUUAAAGGGAGCGUAGGCGGGUUGUUAAGUCAGUUGUGAAAGUUUGCGGCUCAACCGUAAAAUUGCAGUUGAUACUGGCGACCUUGAGUGCAACAGAGGUAGGCGGAAUUCGUGGUGUAGCGGUGAAAUGCUUAGAUAUCACGAAGAACUCCGAUUGCGAAGGCAGCUUACUGGAUUGUAACUGACGCUGAUGCUCGAAAGUGUGGGUAUCAAACAGGAUUAGAUACCCUGGUAGUCCACACAGUAAACGAUGAAUACUCGCUGUUGGCGAUAUACAGUCAGCGGCCAAGCGAAAGCAUUAAGUAUUCCACCUGGGGAGUACGCCGGCAACGGUGAAACUCAAAGGAAUUGACGGGGGCCCGCACAAGCGGAGGAACAUGUGGUUUAAUUCGAUGAUACGCGAGGAACCUUACCCGGGCUUAAAUUGCAACUGACGGAACCGGAAACGGUUCUUUCUUCGGACAGUUGUGAAGGUGCUGCAUGGUUGUCGUCAGCUCGUGCCGUGAGGUGUCGGCUUAAGUGCCAUAACGAGCGCAACCCUUACGGGUAGUUACCAUCAGGUUAUGCUGGGGACUCUACCCGGACUGCCGUCGUAAGAUGUGAGGAAGGUGGGGAUGACGUCAAAUCAGCACGGCCCUUACGUCCGGGGCUACACACGUGUUACAAUGGGGGGUACAGGAGGCAGCUACACGGCGACGUGGUGCUAAUCCCAAAAGCCUCUCUCAGUUCGGAUUGGAGUCUGCAACCCGACUCCAUGAAGCUGGAUUCGCUAGUAAUCGCGCAUCAGCCACGGCGCGGUGAAUACGUUCCCGGGCCUUGUACACACCGCCCGUCAAGCCAUGAAAGCCGGGGGUACCUGAAGUACGUAACCGCGAGGAGCGUCCUAGGGUAAAACUGGUGAUU
rnacentral:rRNA from 1 species